UAGGGAAUCUUCCACAAUGGACGAAAGUCUGAUGGAGCAACGCCGCGUGAGUGAAGAAGGGUUUCGGCUCGUAAAACUCUGUUGUUAAAGAAGAACAUAUCUGAGAGUAACUGGGGGGGGGGGGUUCAGGUAUUGACGGUAUUUAACCAGAAAGCCACGGCUAACUACGUGCCAG
rnacentral:rRNA from 1 species